AUUGAACGCUGGCGGCAUGCUUUACACAUGCAAGUCGAACGGCAGCGCGGGCUUCGGCCUGGCGGCGAGUGGCGAACGGGUGAGUAAAACAUCGGAACGUGCCCAGUAGUGGGGGAUAGCUCGGCGAAAGCCGGAUUAAUACCGCAUACGACCUGAGGGUGAAAGCGGGGGAUCUUCGGACCUCGCGCUAUUGGAGCGGCCGAUGGCAGAUUAGCUAGUUGGUGGGGUAAAGGCCUACCAAGGCGACGAUCUGUAGCUGGUCUGAGAGGACGACCAGCCACACUGGGACUGAGACACGGCCCAGACUCCUACGGGAGGCAGCAGUGGGGAAUUUUGGACAAUGGGCGAAAGCCUGAUCCAGCAAUGCCGCGUGUGUGAUGAAGGCCUUCGGGUUGUAAAGCACUUUUGGCGGGAACGAAAAGGACUGUGCCAAUACCACGGUUCGAUGACGGUACCCGCAGAAUAAGCACCGGCUAACUACGUG
rnacentral:rRNA from 1 species